CUUGCAUAUUCAAGUAAGAUCGCGAACCUAGCGGACGUCUUGAAAACUAAAUGCAGUUAAAAAAGUUUUUUUUUUAAGUUAAUGUAGAUUAUAAAAAGAAGUUUUGUUAUCAAUGGAUUUAUAACAUUUGAAUUUGUGUCUAUGUGAUGAAUAUCAUUAAAAAGCGGACGUUUUAGAUUUUGAAGUGGAUUUGAAAACUUUUUUCUAGAAACUGUUCGUGUAUUAAUUUGUGAAAUGUUAUGAUGUUUUGGACUUAAUAUAAUAACGACUGUAUUUAUUUUUUCCCGCUCAAAUCAAGCACAGACAACGAACUUUCCAACUGUCAAUAGUGAAAAAAAAGUGCAAGCAAA